rnacentral:rRNA from 1 species
AGAGUUUGAUCCUGGCUCAGAACGAACGCUGGCGGCAGGCCUAACACAUGCAAGUCGAACGCUGUAGCAAUACAGAGUGGCAGACGGGUGAGUAACACGUGGGAACAUACCCUUUGGUUCGGAACAACUCAGGGAAACUUGAGCUAAUACCGGAUAAGUGCGAGAGCAGAAAGAUUUAUCGCCGAAGGAUUGGCCCGCGU